rnacentral:SRP_RNA from 1 species
ACUAGGUACAGUAGCAUGUGCCUGUUAUCCCAGCUACUGGGGAGGCUGGGGUGGGAGGAUCGCUUUAGCCCAGGAGUUUGGGCUGUAGUGCACUAUGCCAGUCAGGUGUCCACACUGAGUUUGGCAUCAUUAUGGUGACCCCCUGGGAGCAGGGAACCCUCAGGUUGCCUAAGGAGUAGUGAACCUGUCCAGGUCAGAAACGAAGAAGGUCAAAACUCUCAUGCAGAUCAGUAAUGGGAUUCUGCCUGUGAAUAGCCACUGUACUCCAGCCUGGGCAACAGAGUGAGACCCUGUCUCU